AAUGAUCUAAAUUAAUGGGUUGUACUUGUAUAGCGCUUUUCUACCUUCAAGGUACUCAAAGCACUUUGACGCUACUUCCACAUUUACCCAUUCACACACACAUUCACACACUGAUGGAGGGAGCUGCCAUGCAAGGCGCCAACCAGCACCCAUCAGGAGCAAGGGUGAAGUGUCUUGCUCAGGACACAACGGACGUGACGAGGUUGGUUCUAGGUGGGAUUUGAACCAGGGACCUUCGGGUUGCGCACGGCCACUCUUCCACUGCGCCACGCCGUCCCUAAUUAAGAGUAAUAUUAUUAAUUUAGUGUUAAUAAUUGAGUGGGCCCCGGGCUCCUCUGUAGUGGAAAAGUUGGGCCUGCUCAUACUCUAUUAUUUGGUAUUUUCAACACUUAAAGGGGAACAUUAUCACAAUUUCAGAAGGGUUAAAACCAAUAAAAAUCAGUUCCCAGUGGCUUAUCUUAUUUUUCAAGUUUUUUUCAAAAUUUUACCCAUCAUGGAAUAUCCCGGAAAAAGGCUUUAAAGGGCCUGAUUUUCGCUAUCUUUAAAUCCAUCGUCCAUUUUCCUGUGACGUCAUUUAGUGAUGCCAACAUGGCGGAUAGCACAGCAAGAUAUAGCGACAUUAGCUCGGAUUCAGACUCGGAUUUCAGCGGUUUAAGCAAUUCAACAGAUUACGCAUGUAUUGAAACGGAUGGUUGGCGUAUGGAGGCAGAUAGCGAAAAUAAAAUUGAAGAAGAAACUGAAGCUAUUGAGCGAAUAGCUAUUGAAGCUAUUCGGUGAUCUUCUUCUAACCACGAUUGAGUGUCGCAGGGUAUCCAUACAUGUCUGUGCCAUGUCUGUUGUAGCAUCGCCGGUAAAAUGUGCAGGAGCAACAUAAAUCCUUAGAUUGGUAAGUAUUUGUUUGGCAUUAAAUGUGGGUGGAGUGAAAGGCUGGAUGCAAAUAUAGCUACAUAUGUACAUACAGCUAGCCUAAAUAGCAUGUUAGCAUCGAUUAGCUGGCAGUCAUGCUGCGACUAAAUGUGUCUAUUCAGCACAUAAGUCAAUAACAUCAACAAAACUCACCUUUGUGAUAUCGUUGACUUUAUCGUUGGAAAUGCAUCUGCUUUGAGUGUCGCAGGGUAUCCACACAUCUCUGUGCUAUCUCUGUCGUAGCAUCGCCGGUAAAAUGUGCAGACGAGGGACUUUCGGAUCUUUUGACACUGGUGCGGUGCAACUUGAACCCGUCGAUUGCUGCCGUCGACUCCCCUGAGACACUGCGCGUCAACACCCGGCCGUGGACACACCCUUCCGACUAUCAGCCUGCAGUGCCUCAGACUGGAAGUCUCUCCAGAGAGUGGUGAGGACGGCAGAAAAGAUCAUCAGGACCCCUCUUCCUUCUAUCCAGGAGAUUGCAAAAAGCCGCUGCCUGACCAGGGUUCAGAAAAUCUGUAGUGACUCCUCCCACCCCCACCAAGGACUGUUUUCACUGCUGGACUCUAGAAAGAGGUUCCGCAGCUUUCGAAGCAGAACUUCCAGGUUCUGUAACACCUUCUUCCCUCAUGCCGUAAGACUCUUGAACGCAUCAUAAAAAUCGCCACAAUUCCCCCCAAACAUGGAUUAAUUUACUGAAAUAUAAAGGUAAUAUAACAUACAUCCAGAAACCUGGAUGCAUAUGCAAAAGUGCAAUAUUUAUCUGUACAUUAAUCUAUUUAUUUGAGCUAUGAGCUAAUGCAACAAAAUUUUGUUCUUAUCUGUACUGUAAAGUUCAAAUUUGAAUGACAAUAAAAAGGAAGUCUAAGUCUGCUAGAGAUGAUGCAAGAAAAUAAAAAAAAAAUCACAAGAGUAUGUGAAAGUUUGACUCCUACCUUGUUUACUUCUGUGAAAACCUCCUUAAAAUUUAGUAAACAAUCAGAAAUAUCAAGCAGAUUAAAUACGGCAAACGUGGAUAAGUGUGGAGAGUGUAAAAAAUGUUCCCAUCAUGCGAAUAUCAUGCAUUUUAAUGAAUAGUUAUUUACAUUUUUUUUUAUUGUGCAUGAAUGUUUUUUUUUACAACGUCCACAAACUUCAGUGAGCAGGUUGUGUUGUGUGGGACCCAUCCAUCCGUCCAUUUUACUACCGCUUAUUCCCUUUGGGGUCGCGGAGGGCGCUGGUGCCUAUCUCAGCUACAAUCGGGCGGAAGGCGGCGUACACCCUGGACAAGUCGCCACCUCAUCGCAGCUGUGUGGGGCCAUGUCUGUUAACAUUUUGUGUUGGUUAAACAUGUAUUUGACUAGAGAAGGUUGUUUGCAUUGGGCUAUAGAAGUAAAUGCAGCACAUUUGUCCAUCCAGAGCAUAAUUAAAAGUUCAUUGACCAGAAUUACUCGCCUUGUCUACUAGAUCAGUGUUUUUCAACCACUGUGCCGUGAGAUACCGUCUGGUGUGCCGUGGGAGUUGUCUAAUCUCA